rnacentral:rRNA from 1 species
UACGUAGGGCGCAAGCGUUAUCCGGAAUUAUUGGGCGUAAAGGGCUCGUAGGCGGUUUGUCGCGUCGGGAGUGAAAUCCACUGGCUUAACUGGUGGCUUGCUUUCGAUACGGGCAGACUGGAGGUAUGCAGGGGGAGAACGGAAUUCCUGGUGUAGCGGUGAAAUGCGCAGAUAUCAGGAGGAACACCGGUGGCGAAGGCGGGACUCUGGGCCGAUACUGACGCUGAGGAGCGAAAGCGUGGGGAGCAAACAGG